CCUACGGGAGGCAGCAGUGGGGAAUUUUGGACAAUGGGCGCAAGCCUGAUCCAGCCAUGCCGCGUGUAUGAAGAAGGCCUUCGGGUUGUAAACUGCUUUUGUCUGGGAAGAAGUCCUCUGGCUUAAUACCUCGGGGGGAUGACGGUACCUGAAGAAUAAGCACCGGCUAACUACGUGCCAGCAGCCGCGGUAAU
rnacentral:rRNA from 1 species